rnacentral:lncRNA from 1 species
UUCGCCAGGCCCCUCCAAGCCUUUCCUCGCGCAGCCGCCGCCAAAGCCUGGAGAAGUGGAAUCUCGCCGCCGCUGCUCCCUGCGCGGGCCUCGCGGAGCCGCACUGGGCAUGCUCAGUCGCCGGAGCCAGUGCUGCUCUAAGUAGGAAGCUCGCGUGCUGCAGCCCGCAGCUGAUCCGGGCGCUCAGCGGGCUGCGAAACCUAGGACCCGGGUUCAGAGCCGAUCGAUCGCCGCGCAGCGCUGGU